rnacentral:rRNA from 1 species
GAUGAACGCUGGCGGCGUGCUUAACACAUGCAAGUCGAACGAAGCACUUUAUUUGAUUUCCUUCGGGACUGAUUAUUUUGUGACUGAGUGGCGGACGGGUGAGUAACGCGUGGGUAACCUGCCUUGUACAGGGGGAUAACAGUUGGAAACGGCUGCUAAUACCGCAUAAGCGCACAGCAUCGCAUGAUGCAGUGUGAAAAACUCCGGUGGUAUAAGAUGGACCCGCGUUGGAUUAGCUAGUUGGUGAGGUAACGGCCCACCAAGGCGACGAUCCAUAGCCGACCUGAGAGGGUGACCGGCGACAUUGGGACUGAGACACGGCCCAAACUCCUACGGGAGGCAGCAGUGGGGGAUAUUGCACAAUGGGCGAAAGCCUGAUGCAGCGACGCCGCGUGAGCGAAGAAGUAGUUCGGUAUGUAAAGCUCUAUCAGCAGGGAAGAUAAUGACGGUACCUGACGAAGAAGCACCGGCUAAAUACGUG